rnacentral:rRNA from 1 species
AGCGUCAGGCGUUGGCUCGGCGGAUAGUGCGUCGUUUCGGACUUCGGUCCUGAGACGGCGUAAUCUUUCCAUGCCUCGUUCGGCGUCGUCGUCGUGCACUUCUUCCCUAGUAGAACGUCGCGACCCGUUGGGUGCCGGUCUACGGUCCGAGUGGUAGACUGUCGCGUCGCUUCGGCGCACGCGACAGACCCUCGGUCACCCGGCCGGCUGCCCGGCGGUCGAACUUAUAAGGUAUCUUGCCGCAAUCAUUUGAACUGCGUCGGGCCCGUCGCAAGCGCGGCCAGUGUCUUCUC